GUGAGGAAUUUUCCGCAAUGGGCGAAAGCCUGACGGAGCAAUGCCGCGUGAAGGAUGAAGGCCUAUGGGUUGUAAACUUCUUUUCUCAGAAAAGAAUUAUGACGGUAUCUGAGGAAUAAGCAUCGGCUAACUCUGUGCCAGCAGCCGCGGUAAGACAGAGGAUGCAAGCGUUAUCCGGAAUGAUUGGGCGUAAAGCGUCUGUAGGUUGUUUAAAAAGUAUUCUGUCAAAGAUUAGGGCUUAACCCUAGAUAGGCAGAAUAAACUUUUAAGCUAGAGUUUGGUAGAGGCAGAGGGAAUUCCCGGUGGAGCGGUGAAAUGUGUAGAUAUCGGGAGGAACACCAAAGGCGAAGGCACUCUGCUGGGCCAAUACUAACACUGAGAGACGAAAGCGAGGGGAGCAAAUGGGAUUAGAAACCCCGGUAGUCC
rnacentral:rRNA from 1 species